GAUGAACGCUGGCGGCGUGCCUAAUACAUGCAAGUCGAGCGAACAGACGAGGAGCUUGCUCCUCUGACGUUAGCGGCGGACGGGUGAGUAACACGUGGAUAACCCACCUAUAAGACUGGGAUAACUUCGGGAAACCGGAGCUAAUACCGGAUAAUAUAUUGAACCGCAUGGUUCAAUAGUGAAAGACGGUUUUGCUGUCACUUAUAGAUGGAUCCGCGCCGCAUUAGCUAGUUGGUAAGGUAACGGCUUACCAAGGCAACGAUGCGUAGCCGACCUGAGAGGGUGAUGGGCCACACUGGAACUGAGACACGGUCCAGACUCCUACGGAAGGCAGCAGUAGGGAAGCUUCCGCAAUGGGCGAAAGCUUGACGGAGCAACGCCGCGUGAGUGAUGAAGGUCUUCGGAUCGUAAAACUCUGUUAUUAGGGAAGAACAAAUGUGUAAGUAACUAUGCACGUCUUGACGGUACCUAAACAGAAAGCCACGGCUAACUACGU
rnacentral:rRNA from 1 species